CAAAAGAAAAUCUCUGCUACCUUUUUUCCUUCUGCAAUCUAAUUUUUCUCAACAAUGGAAAGCCUAAGUUUCUAUGUUGGAGUGAUAGGCAACAUCAUCUCAGUUCUUCUCUUUCUUUCUCCAUUAGGAACAUUUUUGCGGAUUGUGAAGCAUCAAUCAACUGAGGAGUUUGAGAGCUUUCCAUACAUUUGCACA